GACGAACGCUGGCGGCGUGCUUAACACAUGCAAGUCGAGCGGUAAGGCCCUUUCGGGGGUACACGAGCGGCGAACGGGUGAGUAACACGUGGGUGACCUGCCCUCGGCUCUGGGAUAAGCCUGGGAAACCGGGUCUAAUACUGGAUAUGACUCCAUGACGCAUGUUGUGGGGUGGAAAGCCUUGUGCGGCUGAGGAUGGGCCCGCGGCCUAUCAGCUUGUUGGUGGGGUGAUGGCCUACCAAGGCGACGACGGGUAGCCGGCCUGAGAGGCGACCGGCCACACUGGGACUGAGACACGGCCCAGACUCCUACGGGAGGGCAGCAGUGGGGAAUCUUGCGCAAUGGGCGAAAGCCUGACGCAGCGACGCCGCGUGAGGGAUGACGGCCU
rnacentral:rRNA from 1 species